rnacentral:rRNA from 1 species
GAUGAACGCUGACAGAAUGCUUAACACAUGCAAGUCAUUGGCGAAGCUGCGCUUGCGCAGUCUAGCCAAGGCGGACGGGUGAGUAACGCGUAAGGAACUUGCCCUGCAGACAGGGAUAACAGACGGAAACGACUGAUAACACCUGGUAUUGUCAGGCUGGCGCAUGCCGGCCUGAUGAAAGGAGACGCUGCAGGAGAGCCUUGCGUCCUAUUAGCUAGUUGGUGGGGUAACGGCCCACCAAGGCGAUGAUAGGUAGCCGGCCUGAGAGGGUGAACGGCCACAAGGGGACUGAGAGACGGCCCUUACUCCUACGGGAGGCAGCAGUGGGGAAUAUUGGACAAUGGGGGCAACCCUGAUCCAGCAAUUCUGUGUGCACGAAGAAGGUUUUCGGAUUGUAAAGUGCUUUCAGCAGGGAAGAAGAAAGUGACGGUACCUGCAGAAGAAGCGACGGCUAAAUACGUG